rnacentral:antisense_RNA from 1 species
ACGCAGCCCACCAGCUUGCAGGGAGGGCAGACCCUGGGGGAUGUGAGGGAGGCUUUCUCACGCAGACCCUAAAACGGUGAGCGCCAGGGAGCCCCGCCUGCUUGUCCCCUCCCCAGAUCCCUCGGGCUCUGGAGAUCUUGCGGGCCCCCUGUCUGUGACCACCUGAAACAGGUCCUGGAGCUGCUACUGCUGGCUUAGGCUGGUUGGUGGAAAGGAUCCAGGGCUGUUGUGAAGGCCUUGGGGAGUCCAGAAGCCGCCUGGCACCUUCUGGGUCCAGACGCUGCCCUUCAGCCCUGCCAUUUCAGCCAGCCUCAGCGUCGUUGUAGAGGCAGGCCGCCCUUUCUGCCACUGUCUGGCUGGGCUGGGCCGUGGGAGUGCUGGCCAACGUGCCAGGCAGGGAGGACCUGAAUUCCUGAAGGUGGUGGUGGCAGCUGUUAGGGUCCACAGGUUAAUGAUCUCCAACGUCACACAGAAGAGAAUGUGCUGAGGUGUGACCUCCCUCACCCUGCCUUGGCUGCGUGGGGCACUGUCUCUCCAGGACUCACCCUGCCCCCCAGUAGACUGAAGUCUGAAGAUCAACCCAGUCUUCCUUCAGGCCUCAAUGCCCUCUCACUUCCCCAGCCCGAGGGACUCCUGGCUCUUCUCGGAGGCUGCUCUGUGGGGUCCCUCCCUUGGGCCUUUGCUAAUGCUGUGCCCUCUGCCUGUCCCAGAGGUGGGCCUGGGCCCAUUUCUCAGGGAGCUCCUGAACACCAAGAAAUUGAAUUGCUUUGUAAAUAAACCAAAAGUGCCAAACAA